rnacentral:pre_miRNA from 2 species
CGACUACAGACCCUACUUCAAGACCAUCGAGGACCUGCGGGACAAGAUUUGUGGUGCCACCAUUGAGAGUUCCAAGAUUGUCCCGCAGAUCAACAAUGCUCGUCUGGCUGCAGAUG